rnacentral:rRNA from 1 species
AGCGCAGGCGGUUUUUUAAGUCUGAUGUGAAAGCCUUCGGCUCAACCGAAGAAGUGCAUCGGAAACUGGGAAACUUGAGUGCAGAAGAGGACAGUGGAACUCCAUGUGUAGCGGUGAAAUGCGUAGAUAUAUGGAAGAACACCAGUGGCGAAGGCGGCUCACUGGCUCGAUACUGACGCUGAGGUGCGAAAGCGUGGGGAGCAAACA